rnacentral:rRNA from 1 species
UGCGUAGGCGGAUUAAUAAGUCAGUGGUGAAAUCUCUCGGCUCAACCGGGAAACUGCCAUUGAUACUGUUAAUCUUGAGUUCGGUUGAGGUAGGCGGAAUGUGUAAUGUAGCGGUGAAAUGCUUAGAUAUUACACAGAACACCAAUUGCGUAGGCAGCUUACUAGACCGACACUGACGCUGAGGUACGAAAGCGUGGGGGGCGAACAGGAUUAGAUACCCUGGUAGUCC